GUAGGUGGCAAGCGUUGUCCGGAAUUAUUGGGCGUAAAGCGCGCGCAGGCGGUUCUUUAAGUCUGAUGUGAAAGCCCACGGCUCAACCGUGGAGGGUCAUUGGAAACUGGAGAACUUGAGUACAGAAGGGGAAAGCGGAAUUCCACGUGUAGCGGUGAAAUGCGUAGAGAUGUGGAGGAACACCAGUGGCGAAGGCGGCUUUCUGGUCUGUAACUGACGCUGAGGCGCGAAAGCGUGGGGAGCAAACAGGGAUUAGAUACCCUGGUAGUCCACGCCGUAAACGAUGAGUGCUAAGUGUUAGGGGGGUUUCCGCCCCCUUAGUGCUGCAGCUAACGCAUUAAGCACUCCGCCUGGGGAUACGGCCGCAAGGCUG
rnacentral:rRNA from 1 species